rnacentral:antisense_RNA from 1 species
GGAAAGUUCUAGAAGCAGUAAGGAAGCCAGGCAGAAGUUGGGAGCGACUGAGCCACUCCAGGAGGAGGUGUGGGCCAAUGGCGUGUUGGAGGUGGAGCCACAGGACCCGUCCAUAGGUUGGAUGGAGUGUGGGUGACAGAGGUAAACCAGGGCUCUCGGCCUGGGCAGCAGGACAGGUGGAGUCAUCCUCACCUGUGCUGGGGACUCUGUGGGAGCAGCAGGCUUCCGAGCACGUGUUGGACCCCGGCGUCUCUGGCUGCACCGAGGGGUCAGGGCAGGGACAUUGAGGCCGCGUCAGGGAGCGUGAGAUACAGG